GAUGAACGCUGGCGGCGUGCCUAACACAUGCAAGUCGAACGGAGUCCAGCCUUUAAGACCGUCUGGUCAAAUAGGGGAAGACUGAGUGGCGGACGGGUGAGUAGCACGUGGGCAACGUGUCUCAUAGAGGGGGUGAACAUAGUGACAUAUCUGCUAAUACCGUGUAAGCACGCACUGCCGCAUGUUAGAGGGUGAAGAGAGAAUCGCUAUGAUAUCGACCCGCGUCUGAUUAGCCAGUUGGCAGGGGAAGAGCCUACCAACGCGACGAUCAGUGGCCGAUCUGAGAGGAUGAACGGCCAGAUUGGGACUGAGACACGGCCCAAGCUGCGACGGGAGGCAGCAGUGGGGGAUAUUGCACAAUGGGGGGAAACCUGAUGCAGCGACGCCGCGUGAGUGAAGAAGUAUUUCGGUAUUUAAAGCUCUAUCAGCAGGGACGAUAAUGACAGUAACUGAAUAAGAAGCCCCGGCUAACUACGUG
rnacentral:rRNA from 1 species